rnacentral:rRNA from 1 species
AUGGGCGAAAGCCUGACGCAGCGACGCCGCGUGGGUGAUGAAGGCCUUCGGGUUGUAAAGCCCUGUGGAGGGGGAAGAAUAAGGGCAGCCUAAUACGCUGACCGAUGACGGUACCCCUUUAGCAAGCACCGGCUAACUCUGUGCCAGCAGCCGCGGUAAG